AUUGAACGCUGGCGGCAGGCCUAACACAUGCAAGUCGAACGAGUGGCGGACGGGUGAGUAAUGUCUGGGAAACUGCCCGAUGGAUGGGGAUAACUACUGGAAACGGUAGCUAAUACCGCAUACCAUCGGAUGUGCCCAGAUGGGAUAGGCUUGUCGGUGAGGUAACGGCUCACCUAGGCGACGAUCCGUAACUGGUCUGAGAGGAUGAUCAGGCACACUGGAACUGAGACACGGGCAAGACUCCUACGGGAGGCAGCAGUGGGGAAUAUUGGACAAUGGGCGAAAGCCUGAUCCAGCCAUGCCGCGUGUGUGAAGAAGGUCUUCGGAGUGUAAAGCACUUUAAGUUGGGAGGCGUUACCAACAGAAUAAGCACCGGCUAACUUCGUGCCAGCAGCCGCGGUAAUUC
rnacentral:rRNA from 1 species